rnacentral:rRNA from 1 species
UACGUAGGGGGCAAGCGUUGUCCGGAUUCAUUGGGCGUAAAGAGCGUGUAGGCGGCCAGGUAGGUCGGUUGUGAAAACUGGAGGCUCAACCUUCAGAGGUCGACCGAAACCAUCUGGCUAGAGUCCGGGAGAGGAGAGUGGAAUUCCUGGUGUAGCGGUGAAAUGCGCAGAUAUCAGGAAGAACACCCGUGGCGAAAGCGGCUUCCUGGACACCAACUGACGCUGAGACGCGAAAGCGUGGGGAGCAAACAGG